rnacentral:misc_RNA from 1 species
AACGCGUCAAUCCGAAAGAACGCUUGUCGCGUUUCCGAUGCGCGCGCAUCUUUGCGACGACUAAUAGAAAGAGAGAGACGAGAGACAUUAACUGCUUCUUUUUUCCUUCUUUUUUCUUUUUUUUCUUUUUAAAUACGUUCCAAUGGAAAGACCCGCGAAUAUCGAGUCGCGCGCCAACUCGAUCUGACGACAACGUAACUUCAUUUGGCUCGAUUUCUCUUUAGUUUUCACCUUAAAGACACGAAACUUUGCUUUCGAAAAAGGAAAAAGGCGGGAUUUUCAAAAUUAAGCUUUACUAGUUACCCUCGAGAGAUUAUUUUUCCACUUACUACGCACUAAUGCCGAAGUCUGGUUCUAAGUGGAGGUUCUGGAGAAAGCCAAAGAGGGCUGCAGUGGAACAAAAAAAGGAAGAAAAAGAAGAAUCGAAUAAGGGUAAACGUAAACACGAGGAGGAAGAUAAGGAUACGAUAAUUCGUAGAAAGUGUGAGACUACUGGUACGAGUCAGGAUUGCAAAAGAAAAAUGAUGGAGAAUAUGUUACCUAAAUGUGACGCGCGUCUUCCGAAAAUGAGCCCGAUAACUGACGAUUACGAGAUCAGUAAUCACGUUUUGGGUCUUGGUAUUAACGGAAAGGUCGUACAGUGUUACGAUAGAAAGACUAGGGAAAAGUAUGCCCUAAAGGUUUUACACGACUGUGUCAAAGCGAGAAGAGAAGUAGAAUUACAUUGGAGAGCAUCCAAUUGCAGACACAUAGUUCAAGUAAAGGAUGUAUAUGAAAAUUCGUAUAGUGGCAACAAAUGCUUACUUGUGGUAAUGGAAUGCAUGGAAGGUGGCGAAUUAUUUCAAAGGAUUCAAGAUCGGCAAGACUGUGCUUUUACGGAAAGAGAAGCUGCACAAAUAAUGUACGAAAUAUGUGUAGCGGUAAAACAUCUGCAUGAUAUGAAUAUUGCUCACAGAGAUCUCAAACCGGAAAAUCUUUUGUAUUCCAAGCCAGACAGAACGGGAAUUUUAAAAUUAACCGAUUUUGGAUUUGCCAAAGAAACACAUAUGAAAGAUAAUUUACAGACUCCUUGUUAUACGCCAUAUUAUGUUGCUCCAGAAGUUCUGGGACCGGAAAAAUACGAUAAAAGUUGCGAUAUUUGGUCGCUCGGUGUAAUAAUGUAUAUACUAUUAUGCGGCUUUCCACCGUUUUAUAGUAAUCACGGUUUAGCGAUAUCACCUGGAAUGAAAAAAAGAAUUCGUUUGGGUCAAUAUGAUUUUCCUUCUCCAGAAUGGUCGAAUGUAAGUGUACAAGCUCGCGAUCUCAUAAAAGGAAUGUUAUGCACGGAUCCGGCGCAAAGAUUGCAAAUAGACGAAGUGAUGCGCAAUAAAUGGAUUGCCAAAUACACAGAAGUGCCUCCUACACCAUUGCACACUGGUCGUGUACUAAGGGAAGGUGAAGAACUUUGGCCCGAAGUACAAGAAGAAAUGACCCGUUCGUUAGCUACAAUGCGAGUAGAUUAUGAUACGGCAAAUCUUAAACAACUCGAUCAUAGCAACAAUCCAUUAUUAAACAAACGUAGACGUGCUAAACAAGCAAGCGCUAUUCCACCAACCGCUAAUCCUACACCAGCUUCCUAGGAGGAUGUUCUACGAGCCAGAAAAAACUGGCAAUUUUUGAUACGCAGAUGCAUUAGAUAUAGCAUUAUUACAAUGCGGAUUGUUUUUUGACGACUUGCAUCAUCAUGCAAAGGAAACAAACUUGCAAAGUAGAUAACUAUUAUAAAAGAAGCCAAUUGUGUGCAUAUGAGUGCACAUGCAUCUAUGCAUGAAGGAUUACAUGCUGCGUUGUUCUAAUGUUCUGUUUUAAACAAUUGUACAAUUUGUAAUAUAUAUUUUAUUUAUUAUAUAUAACAAUGAAAUAACUUGAAAAAUUUAUUAAUUACAGACGCAACAAACAUUAAUAUUAUUUUUCUUCAGCGAUACCAGCAUGUAUCCUUCAUAUUCGUACAUAAUUUGCUUUAAUUAUUUAUCAAUAUUUUUUAAUGGAUUUCAAAAAUUCUACGGCCUGAUGAAAAUUAUUUUUUAAAUAACAAUACCAUUAAUAUAUUAAAAGAAAAUAGAAAAUAUGAAAAGAGAAGUUAUAUAAGUAAAAGGAAAAAAUAAAAUGAUAUACAAUACUUGCUGAAGAAAUGAUAGAGAACGAUAAUCUUCACAGUGGCCUAAUCAUAUAUUCUGAAAAAAGCUUUGAGUGAUUGAAUGUUAGAAGAGUGUACUAGAGGGAGCACAAAUUUGUUAUAAUAGUGAAUAUUUAUGCUCGUAAGGAAUGACAUUUUAAAAAUAAUAUUUUAGUGUUAUAUAUGUAAUCAUGGUAUAAUAUACACUCAAGCAUAUAUCUUUAGAAAUUGAAUUUCGCGUAGUAUAGAAGUACAGCAAGAAUUGACAUCACGUUCAUUUUAAGCCGUCCAAACUACAGAGUACUAGAAACAGAAAAUAAAAUGAUAUCUAAUUAGAUAUCGUUAAAUAUUAUAUCACUUUCGUAUGGAAUUAUUUAUUAUGAUUGUAAAAUGAUAUCUCAAAGUGAUAUACCAACGAGAUUCUAGGAAGAAGUAUUCACUGAAUGGUUCCAAAAUUGAUGUGACUACCAAUUUGAUAAAUGGAUUAAUCAGUUUACUCAAACA